rnacentral:lncRNA from 1 species
CUCUCAGGUGACCCGCUUUCUCAGCAUGAGGAAGCUUAUUCUAUCUCUCUUCCUUUUUGUCUGUUAAACUUUCUGCUCCUUAACCCACUCCACGUGUGUGUCCAUGUUGUUAAUCAUCGGCGCGAGACAACUAACUACAGUGGCCUCAGGGAUAUGGAAUUAAGAUCCACCUGGUGUGAUGAAUAAACCCAGACUCUCAGCAACGCAGGAAAAAAAAAACAAAAACUGGCUGGCGAUCUGGAGUAAAGGAUCCUCACAUCCACGUGAACCAGGAAACUCUGUGCCCAAAUCGACGAAAAAAAAACACUGGGAGAGCCGAACUAAAAGUCUUUUAGCACGGGUACCAGCCCUAGAAUUUCCAGUACACCAGCAGCAGCCUGGAAACCACAUCCUCAUCAAAAGACAGAAAGAAAAAAACUCGAGCCAGCCUGAGAAGGACCCUAUUUUAUGCUGUUAACCACUGAGACUGCCAUCCUCACAGCUGAGAAAGGAUGGACCCACCAUACUCAAGUCAAGAAAACAUCUUCCUCGUCAGAAUCAUGGGUUACUGUACUAGGAUUAAGCCUUACUAAGUUAAAGUUAAAGAAAGCUUAAUUUUCAUAUACCUUCUAUAUUGCUUC